rnacentral:tRNA from 1 species
AUCUGGUUGGCUCAGUUGGUAGAGCAUGAGACUCUCAAUCUUAAAGUUGUGAGUCCAAGCCCCAUGUUGGGCA